GGCGAACGCUGGCGGCGUGCUUAACACAUGCAAGUCGAGCGGUAAGGCCCUUUCGGGGGUACACGAGCGGCGAACGGGUGAGUAACACGUGGGUGACCUGCCCUCAGCUCUGGGAUAAGCCCGGGAAACUGGGUCUAAUACUGGAUAUGGCUCCAUGACGCAUGUUGUGGGGUGGAAAGCCUUGUGCGGCUGAGGAUGGGCCCGCGGCCUAUCAGCUUGUUGGUGGGGGAUGGCCUACCAAGGCGACGACGGGUAGCCGGCCUGAGAGGGCGACCGGCCACACUGGGACUGAGACACGGCCCAGACUCCUACGGGAGGCAGCAGUGGGGAAUCUUGCGCAAUGGGCGAAAGCCUGACGCAGCGACGCCGCGUGAGGGAUGACGGCCUGGUGU
rnacentral:rRNA from 1 species